GUCGAUAUGGCUCAGUGGAUAGAGCAUCAGCCUUUGGGCUGAAGGGUCCCAGGUUUGAUUCCGGUUAAGGUCA
rnacentral:tRNA from 1 species